rnacentral:pre_miRNA from 15 species
GCGAAAAGCUCAUUUGUGUGCAUCGGCUGCUGGGAUACACCCUGUGCUCGCUUUGAAUGAAAUGCAAGCAAGUGAACACAGCUGGUGGUAUCCAGUGGCCGUUUUGCAUCCUUUCAACUUCAAGGA